rnacentral:rRNA from 1 species
AUGGCACAUGCCAGUUCAUUAUUUGGGAGCAGUCUGCAGCUCAAGAGAUGCAAAGAGAAGCAAGGAGGAGCUUACCUGGAAGCCCUGUUCCACCAUUUCCGGGUGCCGGAUCGAGUUCCAGGCCCGAUGGGACCUCAGCCUGGGAUCCCAGAGCAUGGUGCUGUUGAACGCGAAGCCCGACAUGGCAACAUGAAAUCUCUGGAGCUUGCUGGCAUCCCCACUUGUGUGCCACCCAACAACUUGGUUCUGCUUGCAUACGGGCCCUUCCAGCACCACGUCGUGACCGCCGUCGGAGAUCGUCGGAACAGGCCAUGUGCCGAACCUCCUAAAUCAAUGACAGGCAGCAGCAAAGUCAAUACCAAGUUGGAGCUUUACACAUCAUCCAAUUUUAUCCAGUGA